rnacentral:rRNA from 1 species
UGGCGAACGGGUGAGUAACGCGUGAGGAACCUGCCUCAAGGAGGGGGACAACAGUUGGAAACGACUGCUAAUACCGCAUAAGCCCACGACCCGGCAUCGGGAAGAGGGAAAAGGAGCAAUCCGCUUUGAGAUGGCCUCGCGUCCGAUUAGCUAGUUGGUGAGGUAACGGCCCACCAAGGCGACGAUCGGUAGCCGGACUGAGAGGUUGAACGGCCACAUUGGGACUGAGACACGGCCCAG